rnacentral:rRNA from 1 species
UCAAAGAGUCGAGUUGUUUGGGAAUGCAGCUCAAAAUGGGUGGUAAAUUCCAUCUAAAGUUAAAUAUUGGCGAGAGACCGAUAGCGAACAAGUACCGUGAGGGAAAGAUGAAAAGAACUUUGGAAAGAGAGUUAAACAGUACGUGAAAUUGCUGAAAGGGAAACGCUUGAAGUCAGUCGCGUUGUCCAGGAAUCAACCUUGCUUUUGCUUGGUGUACUUUCUGGUUGACGGGUCAACAUCAAUUUUAAUCAUUGGAGACAUCUUAAUGGAAUGUAGCAUCUUUGGAUGUGUUAUAGCCUUUAUUUUAUAUACAAUGGUUGGGAUUGAGGAACUCAGCACGCCAUAAGGCCGAGUUU